GAUGCCACACUUGCUGGGGCACGGCGGUCGGUUGCUUCUGCAGCAUUUGAGCUGGAUGCCACACUUGCUGCGGCACGGUGGUCGGUUGCUUCUGCAGCAUUUGAGCUGUAUGCCACAUUUGCUGGGGCACGGCGGUCGGUUCCUUCUGCUGCUGGGGCUCGACGGCCAGUUCCUUCUGCUGCUGGGGCAUUUGAGAAGGAUGCCACACUUGCAGGGUAACGUCGGUUGGUUGCUCCUGCUGCAGGGGCAUUAGAGCAGGAUGCCACACUUGCUUCUGCAGUGUGUGAAAUGGAUUCCACACUUGCUGGUGCACGGCGGUAGGUUGCUUCUGCUGCAGGGGCAUUUGAGCUGGAUGCCACGCUUGCUGGGCUAUGGUUUUUGGUUCUUUCUGCAGUAGAGGCAAAGGGACCAGUUGCUUCUGCUGCAGGGGCAUUUGAGCUUGAUGCCACACUUGCUGGGGCACGGCGGUCGGUUGCUUCUGCAGUGUGUGAAAUGGAUGCCACACUUGCUGAGACUCGACGGCCGCUUCCUUCUGCUGCAGGGGCAUUUGAGCUGGAUGCCACACUUGCAGGGGCACGGCGGUCGGUUGCUUCUGCUGCAGGGGCAUUUGAGCUGGAUGCCUCACUUCCUGGGGUACAGCGGUCGGUUGCUUAUGCUUCAGCAUGUGAGCUUGAUGCCACACUUGCUGGGGCACGGCGGUCGGUGGUUGCGGCAGCAUUUGAGCUUGAUGCCCCACUUGCUGGAGCACAGCGGUCUGUUGCUUCUGCAGCAUUUGAACUGGAUACCACACUUGCUGAGGUUGCUGGGACAUGGGGGCCAAGUCCUUCCGCAGGAUGGCGGCCGGAUGUUUCUGUUGUGCUUGCAUUUGAGAUUUUGGAGACUUAUAAUUGCCAUAUCCUAGAGAACGAAGUGAUCCUGCGUCAAGCCAUGCUGCAUUAGAAUCCAGUGCAGGAGACCAAUCACCUAGGUUAAAAAUAUAAACUGUAAAAUGCCAGCCUUUGAAGGUUAUGGAACUGCGUAGCUGUUAUUUUAAAUUAACUCACCUUCUGAUGUAGAACACGUUAUCCCUCCAAUUAGCAGGCAACAAAGCCAAGAAACGCUUGAGGAAAGAGAAUGUAUGUUAUAAACAUAGAUACCUGUAACACCUGAAGGACAAGGGAAACAAACUAAAUCAAUACUUAAAAACAUACCUGAAAGCGAUUCCAAUCAUCACAGCCAUUUUGCCCUCAAAACCUCACCAGUAUUCAGCACUAAUGGUAGGCAUACAUCCUACCAGAAUAUCCCUUUUACUAUAUUUGCCAGAUGUUUGGUUGCUCCUUUUAAAGGAAUCCCAGACCCUUCUAAUGUUGUUGGCUAAUUAAGGACAGCUGUCAGCCACUGAACUACAUUCAAUUUCUAUUUCCAAAUUGACCCCUAAAUCCUACACCUUGAUCUAAACACAAGGAUUUAAUAGGGAUAAGCAAUAUGGCCACAAUUGCAUCC
rnacentral:lncRNA from 13 species